rnacentral:rRNA from 1 species
GGAUUGGGAGGGUUCUACGGAACCCGUUUGGUGAAUCUAGUGCCGAGAAAAGCCUUCUAUGUGUUGAAUUUCUAGUACCCGUACCCCAAACCGACACAGGUGGGUGGGUAGAGCAUACCUAGGGGCGCGUGAUAACUCUCUCUAAGGAACUCGGCAAAAUGGCCCUGUAACUUCGGGAUAAGGGGUGCCUGCGUGAGCAGGCCGCAGUGAAAUGGCUCUGGCGACUGUUUACCAAAAACACAGGUCUCUGCUAAGUCGUAAGACGAUGUAUAGGGGCUGACUCCUGCCCAGUGCCGGAAGGUUAAGGAAGUUGGUUAGCGCAAGCGAAGCUGGCGACCGAAGCCCCGGUGAACGGCGGCCGUAACAAUAACGGUCCUAAGGUAGCGAAAUUCCUUGUCGGGUAAGUUCCGACCCGCACGAAAGGAGUAACGAUCAGAGCGCUGUCUCGGAGAGAGACACGGCGAAAUAGGAUUGUCCGUGAAGAUACGGACUACAUGCACCCGGACAGAAAGACCCUAUGAAGCUUUACUGUAACUUGGAAUUGUGUUCGGACUUUGUCUGCGCAGAAUAGGUGGGAGGCUAUGAAACGUUCCUCGGGGGGAACUGGAGCCAUCGUUGAGAUACCACUCUGGCAGAGUCUGGAUUCUAACCUACGGGGACAGUUCCAGGUGGGCAGUUUGACUGGGGCGGUCGCCUCCUAAAAUGUAACGGAGGCGCGCAAAGGUUCCCUCAGGCUGGUUGGAAAUCAGCCAUAGAGUGUAAAAGCAUAAGGGAGCUUGACUGUGAGACCUACAAGUCGAGCAGGGACGAAAGUCGGCUUUAGUGAUCCGACGGCACUGAGUGGAAGGGCCGUCGCUCAACGGAUAAAAGUUACUCUAAGGAUGACAGGCUGAUCUCCCCCAAGAGUUCACAUCGACGGGGAGGUUUGGCACCUGAUGUCGGCUCGUCGCAACCUGGGGCGGUAGUACGUCCCAAGGGUUGGGCUGUUCGCCCAUUAAAGCGGCGCGUGAGCUGGGUUCAGAACGUCGUGAGACAGUUCGGUCCAUAUCCGGUGUAGGCGUAGGAGCAUUGAAAGGAUCUCUCCUUAGUACGAGAGGACCGGGAGGGACGUACCUCUGGUGUACCUGUUAUCGUGCCAACGGUAAACGCAGGGUAGCCAUGUACGGAGUGGAUAACCGCUGAAAGCAUCUAAGUGGGAAGCCCACCUUAAGAUGAGUGCUCCCUUGAGGCCACGGGAAGACGACCCGUUUGAUAGGCGCUAGGUGGAAGUGCAGUAAUGCAUGCAGCCGAGGCGUACUAAUAGGCCGAUGGC